rnacentral:sRNA from 1 species
GCCAUUUUCCACGGGUUGAUGCAGGGUUGAUUUCAAAAACCCAAUGAGACAAGUUGACAAUGCAAUUGUCACCACCUCUGUGACGGGUCGGGCAACAAAUUCCUGGAUUGAAAAAGGACCAGCCCUUUCGGCUCGGAAAUUUGAGAGAGUUUGAUAGCGCUCGUGUUAAUAACCAUGGCGCCAUGUCGUGCCAUGGGCUUGGAUUUUUUGUUGGGAAUGGAUCAGGUACUGUACAUGUUCAGGAGUGUCCAAUAAGUCAUCGUACUAGUGGCCCAGCGCCGUCAACCCCGCUUUAUACCCCUCUUCUUCCUUGAUUUCUCUUUGAUCCAACAUCCAUUCGAUGGGCCAAAAUAUGUGUCCCAAGCCUCAAACAUUGAGGAGAAGGCACACUGCAGUUAUUAUGAGUACGGUUUUACAUCUUCAGAAGCAGAAGCAUUCUUUUGUAUAUCUAAAGUUUUAAAGCUUUCUCACGCAAUCAUUUCCUCUAUUGUCUACGGCGAGGAUCCACCCACUAUCCAUCUUUCUUAUCCGUCCAAAAUCAUCAACUAUCUCACAAUGCUGCAAGACAAUAUCUUCAUUACAUUCACAUAAAAAAAAAAAAGUGGAAUUGCUCUUUGAGCAGAGGAUGGUGGUCAAUAUGAUUUAUCAUACCACUACGCUGAUAAAAGAGUGGGUGGAGGAUUGACAGAUGGAGCAGAUGAAAUGGCCUGCACAAAGUUCUGAUUUAAAUUCUAUUGAGGAUCUAUGAGCAAUCAUGAAGCUCCACAUAUCAAAGAUAAGACAUCAAAUACAAUCCAAAGCAGAGACGAGAAGGGAAUUCCAAUUGAUAUGGGAUUCGAUUACAGAAGGAGAUACAGGCCUUAAUAGACUUCUUUCCUCAAAGGAUGAAGGCUGUUAUUAAUCCUAAGGGUGAAUCAACCAAAUAUUGAACAAGAAAUUAUGUUUGGGUAUUUCCUAUUGAUCUUAGCUAUCUGCGUCAUAUAAAUAUCAACAUAUUCAGUACUUGGUUGAUGUUUUAUUUGAUAUAAAGAGAUGAUGGGG